rnacentral:rRNA from 1 species
ACGCACGCUGGCGGCGUGCUUAACACCUGCAAGUCGCACGGAAAGGCCCUGCUUUUGUGGGGUGCUCGAGUGGCGAACGGGUGAGUAACACGUGAGUAACCUGCCCUUGACUUUGGGAUAACUUCAGGAAACUGGGGCUAAUACCGGAUAGGAGCUCCUGCUGCAUGGUGGGGGUUGGAAAGUUUCGGCGGUUGGGGAUGGACUCGCGGCUUAUCAGCUUGUUGGUGGGGUAGUGGCUUACCAAGGCUUUGACGGGUAGCCGGCCUGAGAGGGUGACCGGCCACAUUGGGACUGAGAUACGGCCCAGACUCCUACGGGAGGCAGCAGUGGGGAAUAUUGCACAAUGGGCGGAAGCCUGAUGCAGCAACGCCGCGUGCGGGAUGACGGCCUUCGGGUUGUAAACCGCUUUCGCCUGUGACGAAGCGUGAGUGACGGUAAUGGGUAAAGAAGCACCGGCUAGCUACGUG